GGAGGCUGGGAGAGUUGUCAGAUCAUGAUUUAAAUCAGACUCUGAGUGGAGGAGAGAGGGGAGCAUGGUUGGGGAGAAACGUUCCUGACCAUGCUGCAGUCUAAGGAAGGUUCGGCAGGGCCAUCAGAGUCCUUGAGCCAAAGAAGCCAACCAGGAGAGUCCCACGUGUCCUAGGACCGGGUCUGCCUUACCGAGUACAUCUCUGCUGUACUCAGGAACUGACUAGAAGGAGUUUUAGGGAAAUCAAGCCUCAGCAUAAACAUGGUGAUGGAUUUCAGCCUGCCCUUGGUCAGUUUUUCUUUCUGUUAUUGGAGGUCUGUGGGACACAUUCUUAGAAUCACCAUAGAUGCCAUUGUCACUCACAUUUUACAGAGCGGGCAGAAUUCCAGAAAAAUUCCAGGGUCUGCCUGAACUCACAAAGCAGGAUGAAAAUCCAUCUUUUGAUUCUCUUUCAAGCUUGUUACGUGAUAUAGAUCCUAAAUCCAGAGGUGGAGUUUGAAGGAUUCUUAGGGCAUUUGGAUGUAACAUCCCAGAGAUAGGAGGACUUUUUGGAAGAACAUUUUGUAAACAGUAAAGGGUUGUGCAAAGAUAGGGGAAAUGCCAUUGUGAGGAUGAC